ensembl:misc_RNA Metazoa_SRP Metazoan signal recognition particle RNA
GCUGGGCACGGUGGCGCGUGUCUGUAGUCCCAGCUACUCGGGAGGCUGAGGCUGGAGGAUCUCUUGAGUCCAGGAGUUCUGGGCUGUAGUGCGCUAUGCCGAUCGGGUGUCUGCACUAAGUUUGGCAUCAAUAUGGUGACCUCCCGGGAGUGGGGGACCACCAGGUUGCCUAAGGAGGGGUGAACUGGCCCAGGUCGGAAACGGAGCAGGUCAAAACUCCAGUGCUGAUCAGUAGUGGGAUCGCACCUGUGAAUAGCCACUGCACUCCAACUUGGGCAACAUAGUGAGACCCUGUCUCUU